UACGUAGGGGGCAAGCGUUGUCCGGAAUCAUUGGGCGUAAAGAGCGUGUAGGCGGCUUGGUAAGUCCGCUGUGAAAGUCCAGGGCUCAACCCUGGAAAGCCGGUGGAAACUGUCAAGCUUGAGUCCGGAAGAGGCGAGUGGAAUUCCUGGUGUAGCGGUGAAAAUGCGCAGAUAUCAGGAGGAAACACCAUGGCGAAGGCAGCUCGCUGGGACGGUACUGACGCUGAGAAGCGAAAGCGUGGGGAGCAAACAGG
rnacentral:rRNA from 1 species